UUUCCUUUGAAAAGUUGUGCAGUUAAGACGUGUCAGUAGUUAGAAGUUCUUAGUUUCUGGAAAGUUAUAUAACCAGACAGUGAAAUACAAGUCGCAGCACGCUGAUCAACACUCAAGCAGCAGCAGAGUUGCAAAACGUGUGCAAACCUGUUAUACCUAGAUUGUAAUGAAAUAUGUGAAGGCUGUGAAGAGUGUGAGAUGAUGAGAUGAGGAGGACGAACAAAUGGCCUUCGUGAACGAGCAGAGCAGUGAGUCAUUGGCGACUGCUGGUGCGAUCUCUGUCUAUUCAACGCUCAUCAGAAUGAAGCCUUUGGUCCGGGAUUCACACUCGUUUUCCUGCUCCUCGAUACGUUCGUUAAUGGCAACGAUGAGGAGGAACGGAACACUUGACAAACAACCAAAAGAGAGCAACCAAUCAUCAACAUCGAUAUCGAAACCGAAUCAAAUUGAAACGCAAUGAUAUCAAAAAUCAUCAAAUCCCAUCAUCGAUUGUUAAUCGAAUGGCUUCAAGAUUUUUGUUUUAUAACACUGAGUGAGUCUUCACGUCUGUCCGUCUUCUACUACAGCAGCAGCAACAACAACCGCAACCACCAGCAAUGGCAAUGGCAUCGGGUUGUUGUUGUGCGCCAGCCGAUCCUACACAGUAACAGUUCGCCGAAGGCAGCAGCUUAGCAGCAGCAGCAGCAGCAAACACCACCGAGUCUCCUUUGCCCAAACCAGAAAAAAAAAAAACAAAUGCAGAAAUGCAAAAUAUGCCAGAUGCAGCUGACAAAAAUAUAUAAUGGGGGACAAGGCGGAAUUGCGCGCGGCAGCAGCAGCAGCAGCUUCAGCUCAACAGCAAACGUGUGUGCGUGCGUGUGAGUGUGUGUGUGCGUGUGCUUUAUUUGCCUACUCUACCAACUACCAAUAUCACCACCACCACCACCGCCGCCGCCACCACGACCACAAUAUCACCACCUACUCUACAUACAGCGCGCUUAGCAGUUGCUGACGCCACCCACCACCCAUCCACACAGUUAUAUCUCUGCAUACACACGGUAUUCGUAUAUCAGCUGCGAACGCAACAACAAAUUGCUUUUUAAAAUAGAUUUACAGCGCACAAGGAGAAGCAGAAAUGAAUGGAGGAGCAACAGCAACAACAUCGUCACAGUUGAAUGUGCCUGUGACGCAACGGAAUUUGUUUUCUUGAAACUACGCAGCCAUCUUGAUCGUAUUUCGUCGUUUUCGUUGUCGUCAUCAUCACUAUCAUCACUUUGUCGGUCGCCUAUCUUUUUCUUCACUUCGCUCACACUUUGACACAAUGGUGGCACGUAAGCCGUAUGGGAUUUUGCUCGUUUAAUAACACUUGAAUUGCAGACACAUUUAUCAAGCAGUGGCAAGCAGUGCCCAAGCAGUGCUAAAUGCGAUUGGAUCUCGGCAUCUUCUGCUUAAUUUUUUUUUUAUUCUCUAUCAAAACAACAUGUCUUUUAGCGGUAUGAUGCAGUUGAACGGUUCCUGCACGUAUCUUAAACUAAGAAAUUGACUGUCGCAUCAGUUUGGAUAAUUGAGAGGCAUUAGGCAAAAAUACUUGGAAUUGAUAAUGCGUAUCCACUCGCAAGGAACAAGUUUGAAAUAUUGUUUAUCUCUAUCCGUUAUGUACAGCCUAAAUAUGAGGGCUUCCAUCUUUUUGUAGCGAUGCAUCACAGUUGACCAGUGCCUGUGAGCGUCUCACGUCUUGAUUGAAUCAAAUGGAAGGCAGAGAGAGAGAGAGAGAGACACCUAUAUAUAUAUGCACUUAUCCGUUCAAUUGGAAGAUGAUCAACCAGAGAGAGGUUCUACUAUCUAAUAACGAUAACCAAUUAACUGACUACACUCACGUAAACUCCCCACCUGUAGUUUAGGACAAAGACAAUUUUUCGUUUAUAUUUUUUAGCGAUGCGACGCAGUUGAACGGUGCCUGCGUGCAUCUGCAAGAAAGAGUAUGAUGAGAGAGGAGAAUCCAAUACAAUCUUUUCGCAAUUAUAGAGCUCUACCCA